rnacentral:lncRNA from 1 species
GGAAUGUGUAGCUAAGCUAAUAACAGAUCUCCCAGCUACUUGUGAUGUGGGCUGAAAUGUACAUUGAGCCAAAAUCAAUCACACUAUUUUUAAAAAUAUGCAAGAUCAUGCUAGAAUUUUGUAAUUUUUAUAAAUAUAUAUGUCAGAUACCAAUCAGAAAAGAGAAACCAUUUUGGGUACUUCAAACAAAGGGGAUGUAAUAUAGGGAUUAGUUAUACAGUCGAAAGAAGAGCUGAGAGGUCAAAUAGGAGAUGAUGAGGCAAUCUAGAGAUUAGCAACAAUGCGAAUCCCAUCACUCAAGGGCUGAAGGAUGGCAAGGAGGAGAUGAUACUGUCAAAACUCAAAAGUUGUGGAUCUCAGGGCCAGCCCCAUAGCUGAGUGGCUAAGUUUGUGUGCUCCACUUCGGCGGCCCAGGGUUUCACUGGUUUGGAUCCUGGGCGAGGACCUAGCACUGCUCAUCAAGCCAUGCUGAGGUGGCAUUCCACAUAGCAGAGCCAGAAGGACCUACAACUAGAGUAUACAACUAGAUUAUCCCUGAGCUAACAUCUGUGCGAAGCCUUCUCUACUUUUUUGAAUGUGGGACACCUCCACAGCACGGCUGGUGCGGGGAGCAGGUCCAUGCCCGGCAUCUGAAUCCACGAACCUGGGCUGCUGAAGCAGAGCACAUGGAACUUUAACCACUUGGCCAAGGGCCAGGCCCAAGAAGGUCAUACAUAUGCUAUUUCAGAGUUCACAGCUAGCUCCUCACUACUCAAAUUGUGGGUGUUAUUGCCAGACUGCGGAGAUGCACAAGAAUUGACUUGAGAAGCAAAGAGAUUAUUCACACCCACACACACUGUUCUCUCUAGGAGCACCUCAUCAAUGCCGGUGAGAGCCAGUUAAUGCUGCUGAGGUGAGGGCACACGGGCUGUUCAGUGGAAGAUGAGAAAUUAAAACGUGAUUAUUUUCCAAAUUGGAAUAUAAAAUAAAGAGCACAUUCCAGGAAAGAAGAGGAG